UUCUUGAAUUUUAACAAAUUCUUAUAUAAUUAUGACAGAUCCACAGCUUGACCACUUAAAACCACCGGUUAUUGCAAACCCACCUGCAUCACCUAUGCAACACUAUCCUAUGAAAUUUAACAUUUCGAGA
rnacentral:pre_miRNA from 1 species